AAUGGGCAGCCACCCAUCCUAGCCAAUCAAAAAGGAGGCAGCCACCACUCUCUCCCUCUAUAAAAGCACUUGGCCGGCCACCCCUUCCUCUUUUUCUUCUCAUUUUUCUCCACUCUCCACUCAUUCCCCUGCCUUACCCACUCCCUCCCCUCCUUCUCCCACGAAAUAUUGCUCCCCCUAGCUUCCAUGGCCGGCCAUGGCCAUGGAAAGCCACCAAGAUGAAGCUCUCCUCCUCCCUCAAGCUCAUCCUCACCAUGAGAGCAUCCCUCUCCUUCUUCUCCCCAACCCUAGAUGGUUUUCUCUCCUCUUCUUCUUCCUCCCUUGCUAAGAUUGGAUCUUGAUGCAGGUGCAUGUUGGUCCAAGCAUGGAGAAGCUUGAGCUAUCCUCAGAUCUGAAGUUCUUGAGCAAAGGCCAAAUCGAGUGAUUCAAAGUUCCUCGGAUAGGUAUUGAAAAGAUCUACAACUUGGCGUUGGUUUCACCCUCAAAUUCGUUACAUAUUUUCCUCGAUCAAGAUCUGGUCAGAUCUGACUUGGUCGAAUUAAAUCAGGAGCUUGGGAACGAAUUUUUGAAUGAAACAAACUGGGGGAUACUUAGUUGUGCCAUGGUGAUACCUAGAGAGGCAAUUGCUAAGUCGUGGCACUCUCAUACCUUUACUAGAUGCGAACAAUUUCGGAGGAGAAGAAGAAGAAGUGGAAUCGGACAAGGAUUUUAUUUGUACUGUGGGAAUUCUUAUUUGAUGGAGUUGAAGAAGUCCAGGGACAAAUAAGCCAAG